CGCCCUUGAGUUUGAUCAUGGCUCAGAGUGAACGCUGGCGGCGUGCUUAACACAUGCAAGUCGAACGAGAACGGAUUAUAGCUUGCUAUAAUUGUCAGCUAAGUGGCGCACGGGUGAGUAAUAUAUAGGUAAUGUGCCCUAGAGAAGAGGAUAACAGUUGGAAACGACUGCUAAGACUCUAUAUGCCUUUAAGACAGAAGUCUGCAAGGGAAAUAUUUAUAGCUCUAGGAUCAGCCUGUACAGUAUCAGCUAGUUGGUGAGGUAAUGGCUCACCAAGGCAAUGACACUUAACUGGUUUGAGAGGAUGAUCAGUCACACUGGAACUGAGACACGGUCCAGACUCCUACGGGAGGCAGCAGUGGGGAAUAUUGCACAAUGGACGUAAGUCUGAUUUUUUUUCGCCGCGUGGAGGAUGACACAUUUCGGUGCGUAAACUCCUUUUAUAUGGGAAGAUAAUGACGGUACCAUAUGAAUAAGCACCGGCUAACUCCGUGCCAGCAGCCGCGGUAA
rnacentral:rRNA from 1 species